rnacentral:rRNA from 1 species
GAUGAACGCUGGCGGCGUGCCUAAUACAUGCAAGUCGAGCGAAUAGACGAGGAGCUUGCUCCUCUGACGUUAGCGGCGGACGGGUGAGUAACACGUGGAUAACCUACCUAUAAGACUGGGAUAACUUCGGGAAACCGGAGCUAAUACCGGAUAAUAUAUUGAACCGCAUGGUUCAAUAGUGAAAGACGGUUUUGCUGUCACUUAUAGAUGUAUCCGCGCCGCAUUAGCUAGUUGGUAAGGUAACGGCUUACCAAGGCAACGAUGCGUAGCCGACCUGAGAGGGUGAUCGGCCACACUGGAACUGAGACACGGUCCAGACUCCUACGGGAGGCAGCAGUAGGGAAUCUUCCGCAAUGGGCGAAAGCCUGACGGAGCAACGCCGCGUGAGUGAUGAAGGUCUUCGGAUCGUAAAACUCUGUUAUUAGGGAAGAACAAAUGUGUAAGUAACUAUGCACGUCUUGACGGUACCUAAUCAGAAAGCCACGGCUAACUACGUG